CGCGUAGGUGGCGGGGUAAGUUUGAUGUGAAAUCUCCGGGCUUAACCCGGAAACUGCAUUGAAUACUAUUCUGCUGGAGGUUUGGAGGGGGGACUGGAAUUCUCGGUGUAGCAGUGAAAUGCGUAGAUAUCGAGAGGAACACCAGUGGCGAAGGCGAGUCCCUGGACAACACCUGACACUGAGGCACGAAAGCUAGGGGAGCAAACA
rnacentral:rRNA from 1 species